rnacentral:rRNA from 1 species
UAUAGAGCUUAAAUAUUCAAUUAGACAAGUAUAGUAGGUGAUAUCUUAACUAAUUGUAUAUUUUUGUUGGGGCGACAAAGAGAUAAAGAUAACACUCUUUUUUAAAAAAUAUUUAUAAAUAAAAUAAUGAUCCUUAAAUUAAGAUAAAAGACUAAGUUACCUUA